UGUAUGAGCUGCUCAGCUGACUUAUUUCUUCGACGUGUGCAAUAGCUGUUUAUCCCAAAAAGAUAAGAUUUAGCAUAACCAUCUCUCUUAAUCUUGCGGGAGCGAUUAAGGGCUAAAUUAUCUCAUCCAGUUUAGCAUGUUCAAUGGUCUGACAAUCUCGAGAUCGUAUAAUCUCACAGCUAACAAUCCAGCUGUCCAAUAUUCUUCUAUAUAAGCAAC
rnacentral:lncRNA from 1 species